UACAGAGGGUACAAGCGUUAAUCGGAAUUACUGGGCGUAAAGCGUGCGCAGACGGUUGCGUAAGUCAGAUGUGAAAGCCCCGGGCUCAACCUGGGAAUUGCAUUUGAGACUGCGUAGCUAGGGUGCGGAAGAGGGAAGCGGAAUUUCCCGGUGUAGCGGUGAAAUGCGUAGAUAUCGGAAGGAACACCAGUGGCGAAAGCGGCUUCCUGGUCCAGCACCGACGUUCAG
rnacentral:rRNA from 1 species